GUCUUCUCCUGGGCGCGGCCAUCGCGGCGGCCGCCGGAGCCCACGUGGCUCUGGGCCUCCGUUGGUUCAGUAGAAAGUCCCGGUCCAAAGUUAUCGGGAUUAUUACCAUUUUUCUGAAAUUGCUUCUUCUUCUCCUCCUCUUAAUUUUGAGCUCACGGAAUAAAAUCACAUUUGUUGUUGUGUGGGAACUUUUUUUUUUAAAUAGAGAACUUGGGAGAGAACAAAGCUGGCCUCUACUUUGGACCACGUUGUUUUUGCUCCGUUGGUUCCGAUGAUUGGGUAUAGAGCGGUUUUGGCGUUGUCGGGAUAUGUUUUGAGUAAUGUGGCAUUUGUGCUUGCUGCAGUUUUUCUUUACAGGAACCUUUAUUGAAGAUGGAACUGAAUAAUCCUGCUUUAUUGGCUGGGGAUUGGUCCCAGCUAUGUGCUACAUGCAAGGGAAGGUUUGGAUUAGGGUAAUCUUGCCUCGAUGUCGCUGAAAAUCCCCAAGCAAACGUUCGUGCAAGAUCCCUCAUUGCUGCAAACCGCUGUCCCAUGUCUUCUCUAAAAAAAUGGCAUAGGGAACACUCCCCUAUUUCCUCUUCUACAAUAUAAAAAACAAUUCAAAAGUUGCAGGAAUGUUUUGUUUGAGAGGAGAAGGAGAGGCUUUGUAGAGAGUUUAAAAAAUUGGUAAAGAGGUUUGGGAGGUGAGCUCUUUGAUAGAGAUUCCCUUAGAGAGAAAAGGGUUUAAUGUUUCUGUAAGAGAGAACUUUAGACCAGAUUUCUUCUUAUUUUCUUUGUUUUUGAGAGAUGAAAAUGAAGAGAGAAAUCAUGCAUUUAUUUUUGGCUUUUGACAGUACAAAUCACAUAUAUUUUAUGCUAGUGAGGAGUGUUGACAUCCAGCACCAGCUCAUGCCCAAGCCAUGACGAAACAUCUUACAGGUUUUAAGGAGAGCAUUAUAAGACAUUUACCAUGAUUUAAGGAAAGUGAUUCUCUUCUAAUGUAGUGUCAUACAUUGUUGGCCUUCUUGUUUUGAUGAUGAU